rnacentral:rRNA from 1 species
GAUGAACGCUGGCGGCGUGCUUAACACAUGCAAGUCGAACGAAGCAUUUGCGACAGAUUUUUUCGGAAUGAAGUUGCUUAUGACUGAGUGGCGGACGGGUGAGUAACGCGUGGGUAACCUGCCUUGUACUGGGGGAUAGCAGCUGGAAACGGCUGGUAAUACCGCAUAAGCGCACAAUGUUGCAUGACAUGGUGUGAAAAACUCCGGUGGUAUAAGAUGGACCCGCGUCUGAUUAGCUAGUUGGUGAGAUAACAGCCCACCAAGGCGACGAUCAGUAGCCGACCUGAGAGGGUGACCGGCCACAUUGGGACUGAGACACGGCCCAGACUCCUACGGGAGGCAGCAGUGGGGAAUAUUGCACAAUGGAGGAAACUCUGAUGCGGCGACGCCGCGUGAGUGAAGAAGUAAUUCGUUAUGUGAAGCUCUAUCAGCAGGGAAGAUAGUGACGGUACCUGACUAAGAAGCUCCGGCUAAAUACGUG